AUACGGAGGGUGCGAGCGUUGUUCGGAAUUAUUGGGCGUAAAGCGCGUGUAGGCGGUUUGCUCAGUCUGAUGUGAAAGCCCUGGGCUCAACCUGGGAAGUGCAUUGGAUACUGGCAGACUUGAAUACGGGAGAGGGCAGUGGAAUUCCUGGUGUAGGAGUGAAAUCCGUAGAUAUCAGGAGGAACACCGGUGGCGAAGGCGGCUACCUGGACCGAUAUUGACGCUGAGACGCGAAAGCGUGGGUAGC
rnacentral:rRNA from 1 species